rnacentral:rRNA from 1 species
AGCCCGCUGUAAGCGAAGCCCUUUCUGGGUUUUUGGGUUGGAGUGGGAUUGUGGUUGGUGGUGAGGUUAUCCCCAGAGCGGCGCUCUUGGUUUUCUUUUUCUGUAAUAGGAAGUUACAGUUAUUUUGCAUCUAUUCCAUAGUGGGGUAUCUAAUCCCAGU